GGGGGAAUCUUGCACAAUGGGGGCAACCCUGAUGCAGCGACGCAGCGUGAGCGAUGAAGGUUUUCGAAUCGUAAAGCUCUGUCCUAUGGGAAGAUAAUGACGGUACCAUAGGAGGAAGCCCCGGCUAACUACGUGCCAGCAGCCGCGGUAAUACGUAGGGGGCGAGCGUUGUCCGGAAUUACUGGGCGUAAAGGGUUCGCAGGCGGCAUGACAAGUCCGAUGUAGAAGGCGAAAGCUCAACUUUCGUAAGCAUCGGAAACUGUCAAGCUUGAGUGAAGGAGAGGCAGAUGGAAUUCCUAGUGUAGCGGUGGAAUGCGUAGAUAUUAGGGAGAAUACCGGUGGCGAAGACGACGUGCUAGACUUCAACUGACGCUAAGGAACGAAAGCGUGGGUAGCAAACAGA
rnacentral:rRNA from 1 species